ACCGUUCCGUAGAGGAUUGACGCGCGCGCGCUCGUACACCGUGCCUAGCUUGUUCCGUGAGUGUGUGUUACCUAGGACGACGCGUGUUGCUUGCUGACCCGUGGCCUACUAGGGGCGCCGUAAUUAACGUGGAAUACCUUCGGCCUACUUGAUGGAUUUGGUUUGGGGGGGAAUUCGGAAGCAAGGUUCUGCGAGUGGAGUUUGGAGGUUGUGAAGGUUUGCGGGGAUCCGGAAGACAAGCUUGCUGGAGAGAGUGUAAGGGAUUUAGAAAGGGAUUCUACGGCGGAUUUACUGCGGGAAUAGCGUCACGAAGGCGCAAAGAGAACGUGAGCAGACAAGGGUCAGUGUCAAUUGCAUUCCGGACAGCUGGAUUUUCCGGGAUUUGCUGCCGCGUCGAAGGCGAUUCCGGGCAGAAUUUGCCGAUGAGCGAUUUUAAAUCCUGGUGAUUUCGAAGGAAAAGUGAAAAUACGUGAGGCUCGUGGUUCUGAAAGUGAUUGAGUGGUUCCCGGAAGUGACGAACGAUGUUCAACGGACGGUUCGUGGUGGGCUGGCUGGGACUGCUGGUGCUGACCGGUUACGUCCAGUCCGCCAUCCCCCUGGGGCAGCUGGGACGGGCAAGUAGUAAAGAAACCGCAUGUUCGGAUGACAAAUUCCGGUGCAAGAGUGGCCGCUGCAUUCCGAAGCACUGGCAGUGUGACGGCGAAAAUGACUGCAGCGACGGUUCGGACGAGGACUCGGAAAAGUGUCAGUCCAAGGUGUGCUCGUCGGAGGAGUUUACGUGCCGCAGCGCGACCGGAACCUGCAUCCCGCUGGCCUGGAUGUGCGACCAGAACCGGGACUGCCCGGACGGCUCGGACGAGAUGUCGUGCAAUGAAACCUGCCGUUCGGACGAAUUCACCUGUGCCAACGGGCGGUGCAUCCAGAAGCGGUGGCAGUGCGACCGGGACGACGACUGCGGCGACAACAGCGACGAGAAGGGCUGCCAGGCGACCACGUGCGACCCGCUGAAGCAGUUUGCCUGCUCGGAGAACUACUGCAUCACGGCCAAGUGGCGCUGCGACGGCGAACCCGACUGCCCGGACGGCUCGGACGAGCGGGGCUGCACGAAUCCGACACCGCCGACGGUGAAUCCGUGCCUGUCGCUGGAGUACCAGUGCAGCGACCGGAUCACCUGCAUCCACAAGAGCUGGAUCUGCGACGGCGAGAAGGACUGCCCGCAGGGUGACGACGAGAUGCCGCCGAUCUGUCAGAACGUAACGUGCCGACCGGACCAGUUCCAGUGCAAGAAGGACAAAACGUGCAUCAACGGGCACUUCCACUGCAACGGCAAGUCGGACUGCUCGGACGGAAGCGACGAGGUGGAUUGUGCGGAACGACCGGUGGCCAAGUGCAACCCGAAGACGGAGUUCGACUGCGGCGGUGGCAUGUGCAUCCCGCUGUCCAAGGUGUGCGACAAGAAGGCCGAUUGUCCGGAAUUCCAGGACGAACCGGUGGACAAGUGCGGCAAGAACGAGUGUCUGGAGAGCAACGGGGGUUGCUCGCAUCUGUGCGUGGACACUCCCGCUGGAUACUACUGUGACUGCAAACCUGGCUACAAACUGGUCAACAACCGCACCUGCGAGGACAUAAACGAGUGCGAGGAGGCCGGUUCCUGCUCGCAGCGGUGCACCAACGAGAUCGGUACGUUCAAGUGCGAGUGCAUGACCGGAUACCUGCGGGACCCGCGCGACCACACCAAGUGCAAGGCGACCGAGGGGCACGCUUCGCUGCUGUUUGCGCGGCGCCACGACAUCCGCAAGAUUUCGCUGGACCACCGCGAGAUGACGUCGAUCGUGAACGACACCAAGGCGGCGACGGCGCUGGACUUUGUGUUCCGCACCGGGAUGAUCUACUGGAGCGACGUGUCCGAGCAGCGGAUCUACAAAGCACCAAUCGACGAGGGGUCAGACAAAACGGUAGUUGUGAAGGACCAAACCGUCACCUCGGACGGGCUCGCCGUGGACUGGAUCUACAACCACAUCUACUUUACCGACAUCAAGAAGUCGACCAUCGAGCUGACCAACUUCGAUGGCAACAUGGGUAAGAUUCUGAUCAAGGACGAUCUGGAGAUUCCACGCGCGAUUGCACUGGAUCCAAUCGAUGGCUGGAUGUACUGGACCGACUGGGGAACGACCCCUCGCAUCGAGCGCGCCGGAAUGGACGGAACGCACCGCCAGGUGAUCGUCAACUACGAGGUCAAGUGGCCCAACGGACUCACGCUGGACCUGGUGCGGAAGCGAGUGUACUGGGUGGACGCCAAGCUGAACGUGAUUUCCUCGUGUAACUACGACGGAUCCAAACGGGCCGUGGUGCUCUACUCGGCCGACUACCUGCGACAUCCGUUCUCGAUCACCACGUUCGAGGAUUACGUGUACUGGACCGACUGGGACAAGGAAGCGGUCUUCAAGGCGAACAAGUUUAACGGCAAGGAUAUCGAGCCGGUGACGGCAAUGCACAUGCUCCAGCACCCGAUGACGAUCCACGUGUACCACCCGUACCGCCAGCCGGACGGCACCAACCACUGUCAGGCCGUGAACGGACACUGCUCGCACCUGUGCCUGCCGGCACCGCAGAUCAACAGCCGGAGUCCAAAAAUCUCCUGCGCGUGUCCCACCGGACUCAAGCUGAUGGACGACGGCCUCAUGUGCGUCGAGGACGCGAGUGCAACCACUACGAGGGGUCCACCAACGGCGCAUGUCAAGCCCCACGGGUCAAGCUCGAACUCCGCAUCGUCGUCGUCCUCUUCCGGCCGGAAUGCCACCACCGACAACAAACAGAUCGAGCAUCACUCCAGUAAUAUUUACGAAAGCAACAAGGACAUUAUUGCGUCCACGACGGACAAACCAUCCUCAUCGCAUGGGAACUCAGCAUCGUCACGCCCCUCGCUCGCAAACGGCGUGCACUUUGCGGCCAUCUGCACCAACCUAACCCGCGUCGAGGCCCUGAUGGCCACCCUCAAGUCCGUCCGCACGGUCGACAAGACCGCCCAGCACCGGUCCUACCUGAACCGAAGAUGGCGCCACCGUACGACCACACAGACCGACCCUGACACCGAGACGGACCGACAGACCGAGUACCGCUACUGGGAGUUCCGGAAGCGGUUCAACAUACUGGAGACGCUGUACACGGACCAGUUCGACGACAUCGGGGGGCCCGACGGGGGUCACAAGGAGGCCGUUUACGGAAACGAUCUGCACGCCUCGCUCGAGUACGUGCGGUGGCUCUGUCGGAAGUAUCAAGCGACCAUGCGGAACGGAACUGACGGGACCAUCAUCCAGCCGGGAGUGGUGGAGGACGACUCCGGACUGGUGGCCGGAAUCGCCAUCGCCGUCAUCUCCAUCGUUGUGCUGGUGUUCCUGACGGUCGCGUACAUGGUCUACCGGCACCACGUGCACCGGAACUCGACCUCGAUGAACUUUGACAACCCGGUGUACCGGAAGACGACCGAGGACCAGUUCAGCCUGGAGAAGAACCUGCCGAGCAGCCGCAUGUACCCGAGCACCGUCGGCGAGGAGCGAAUAAGACACUAAAAAAAUCCCUGCAAAAGAGUAAAAAGUAAACAGUCAGAGACGAUUUGAAGCAAACAAAAAAACAAAAGCAUUCACCACCCACAAACCACAAAAAAACGUCACCCUUCUCACACCAACACACACACACCGAACGUUGAGUAGUAGGCGUUGAGCGACCAACCAAGCCAAAGUAACAAAGAAUGCGUGGGCGCGCGCUCGCUCGUCCAGGCCCAGGAACCGCUAAACAAGCCGUCCACCAACGAUUUCGUUUAGCGUGUUUGCGCGAAUGUGUGCGAGCGCCCCGGACGAGGAAGCGAGAAACAGCCUAAGAAGACAGCACAAAUAGUAAAAGAAAAAACAGGAAAAAAAAACAAACAAAAUGCUAAACAACAAACCACCAAAUCGAGAAUAUGAGACUUGUAUUCUUCCAGUAAACGCAGCAACAAAACAAAACAAACAAAAAAACUAACUGAAAAAGAAGGUUGAAAACAACAACAAACAAUUUGUGGACAAGUGAGUGAGUGAACAGCUGAAAGCAAAAAAAAGGCAUCCAUCCUAAAAAAGAAGAAGAAGAAGAAGACGCGAUUGACAGAUUGAGGAAGGCAAAGUAGGCGUUGUAGAGUUUGUUUCUUUUUGCCGCGGUAGUGAAAUUAUGUUGUAAUUAUUUUUUUGAUACGCUCGAAGAGCGUAGAAAAUUUUGUUUUUUUCUCUACUUUGUAGUGUGUGUGUUUUCUUAUGUAAAUCAAUUGUGAAUAGGGGCAACUAUUGUGAAAAAUUUAUAUAUUUAUACGUAGGAAAUAUAUGAUUAUUUGUAGCGAUGGUGGUGAAAAGUUUUUCGGUCGAACCGAACCUUUUUUGUAAUAAACUGUUAGCAGCUUAACUUUCGUUUUUGUUUUUUCUCUUGCGAAAUUCGAAUAUUAUUUAAAAAUGUCGUGCAUGCUUGUUCAGCCUUAGCCGCCGUCUUUGUAGGCUUCGAGGGAGGAAACAUUAACUGUAAUAUAAAAACAAGAAAAAUGAAAGACGAUUUUGUAGAUCGAUGCCAAGUAACAACAAUUAUUAACAAUGGUGUAGAUAUUAUUUUGUUGCAAUUUUUCGAGGCAAACAAUGUUGAAUAAAACACAGUCAAAAAUAUUCCAGCGAUUUCAUAAAAGUACGUCAUUUUAGUAGGUAAAAAAUUCAAAUCACCCUUAAAGAAAAACAUUACAACACUAGCGAAAACCAAGUCGUUAAAAAAACCUUAGCAGCACAGAUAGCGUUAUCUUUUUUGUUUGAAACUAGAAAAAAAAACUCCUUUUACACAAUUUUUUGCGUAAUUUUAGCUCAACAAUGUUGUUCGAUGACGGCGCGGAAAGAAUCCAAGCAGUCCGAGACUACUUUGACAAGCCAUCGAAAAGGGUGCCCGGCCUGCUUGGAUGCUUUGCUCCCUAUCAUCGAUUCGGUAGAAUAAUUGAAGAAAAAGUUAAACGUAAAUCAAACCAAAAAAAAAACAAGCCGCUCUUCCACGGAAUUUUACUCAAUUUUUAAAAACAACAGCGAAAUCGUUCAUGUUUUCCUACGACACACACACACACGUGUUUGCUCAUUGAAAUGGAAGUUGCUCAAAGUAAAUUUACAAAAUAACUAAAAUUCGUUCACCCCAAACCAACCCCGCCAACCCCAGAAAAGAUAAAAUCCUCAAUUUCGUAGCUGUUUGAUAAACCAUAGAGAAGCUCCUCUUUCGCUCGUUGAGAGUUGUAAAAUUCUUGCCAAAUUUAGCCAGAACUAGAACUUUAGCGUAGCGUGUAAAACCCUCCUCCUCCUUCCAGCCAAACCCGAGAAAAAAACGUGAAACGCUCGCAUUGUGUUCCGUUCCAGGCAAGAAACAAGAACAAAGUACUACCCUCUAAGCAAACAGAUGAAUUUCUUUCCUUCCAGAGUGAAAAAAAAGACAAAAAAAAACUAACUUAACAACUUUUUAGAACUAUUUUAACAAAAAAAAAUGAGAACGAAAAUUCCUCCCUCCUUAAAGAAAAGAAACAAAAAAAAUACAAGGAAAAUGGGGAAAAUUCCUGCCAAAUUGCAAGAAAAAAAAACAAACAAAAAUACUACAAAGAAUGUCGCAACUUGGUGCAAAAUAGAGAAAUAAAAAAAAAUCGUUUAUGUGUAUAUUUGCGAACGUGUCCUAAGUUCGAACUAAUGGUAGCUGUAA